GCCAGAGGGGCUGCAGCUCCACGCUUGCCUUAUCUGAACACGGUUUGAAUGGCCGGCACCCUUGAUGAGCGGAAACCUGACUCAAUAUUGUAGGAUUGUGCGUGCUUGUGAGGAGUUUUCAGAAACGUCAGAAAAAAGCAAUUAACUCUGGAAAUGACGUAAAAUGGUCAUGGUUAAAGAAGAACUGACAAGGAAUUUUGGUUAUUUCUGUGGCCUACAAUAACUUAACUGUAAGUAUGAGUGACAGUAUAUACCCAGAUGUGUCAGAAUUUUAGGAACCCCAUACAGUUUUGGAGCAUAUAUUAAUGACGUAUUCACAAACAAUAUCUCAAAUAAGGUUAAACAUCAUUUCUUAUUUGGCAGUGCUUCCCAUGUAAUUUAAUUUAUCAAAUACUUCUGUCUCUCUCUUUUUUGGAUACUAUAGGGGCCCUUAGUAGCUCUCUCCACUGGGAAAGGCUGUUAUCGUCUUUGUUUUAAACUAUAAACUAAGUUUCUCCCAAAGUCAGUUCAGCCUACUCCCAGGAAUGAGCAAGGACAGCUUGGAGGUUAGAAGCAAGAUGGAGGGGCCAGGCGCGGUGGCUCAUACCUGUAAUCCCAGCACUUUGGGAGGCCAAGGUGGGCGGAUCACAAGGUCAGGAGUUCAAGACCAGCCUGGCUAAUAUGGUGAAACCUCGUCUCUACUAAAAAAAAAAUACAAAAUUAGUCGGGCAUGGUGGCAGAUGCCUGAAUCCCAGUUACUUGGGAGGCUGAGGCAGGAGAAUCGCUUGAACCCAGGAGGCAGAGGUUGUGGUGAGCCAAGUUUACGCCAUUGCACUCUAGCCUAGGCGACAAGAGCAAAACACCAUCUCUAAAAAAAAAAAAGAGGGCAAGAUGGAGUCAAUUAAGUUAGAUGUCUUUCACCGUCUCAGUCAAAGAGACAAUGCAAAGGUGGUUUCAGCUUUUUCCUAAAUAUUAUCAGAUACGUGUAAUAUAGAGACAUAUAGUCAUAACAGACACAGAUAGAAACAGAUCUUACAGAUUUCAGUAAGAAUUUUCAUUUGCCAGCUUUCAAAUAGUUUUCUUUUCCCCCUUUAGACUAUCAAUCUUCUAAUUACUUGUUUUAUCAUCCUAAGCAAUCGUUAGCUAGGGAACAAUUUGCCUUCAAAAAAGAUAACUCUUAGGUGAAACAAGGCAGAAAAUGUAUAUCUGAAAAGUACAGAGCUGAGACUUUCAGCUUAAAUACUGUACCAUCAUCAUUUGCUCAACCAAGAAAAAAGCAAGGCCCAAUGAAGACAAGAUGGCCAGGAAAAACACGUUAAACAAAGGUAAGUCUUGUUAUGUAAAUUUAAAACAAAGGGAUGUCCCCCGCAGACAUUGCAAAUGGAAAUGUCUUGUGGAGAUGUAAAUUUCUUUCACAGAAUGGUUUCAAGAUAGCAGUUGAAUGUCAGGAAGGUGCAUUUUAGUUAUUAGGCUGGUUGAAAAGUAACUGGAAAAACCACAAUUACUUUCACACCAACUUAUGGAUAGGUGGUCCUUCUAACGUAGCUACUGUUUCUUAGCUAAAAUUACUGAGUACAGGGUGGGGCCCAUUAAGGAAUAAGGCAAUGAAAGCCUUCGCUCUGCCUGGGCUCAGCGUGGGUGGAUCUGAAGUAAAGCCUGCUGGAUCUGAGAGGCCUUUUGGAAACACUUCAUCUAGGAUAGCUUUCUGUCCGGGAUAGUAACCAGGCCAAAAGCUCAGCAGAUUCAUUUCUUCUUAUCAGUUGGUCACUUAAGCUUUUUAUUUGUCUUAAUUAAUUUAUAUUUAUGAUCUUAUUUUGUCUUUAUCUUAUUUGACAGGGUGUUGCUCUGUCACCCAGGCUGGAGUGCAGUGGUGCCAUCAUAGCUCACUGCAAUUGUUACAGGAGAGGGGUCCUGAUCCAGACCCCAAGAGAGGGUUCUUGGAUUUGGAUCCUGUGCAGGAAAGAAUUCAGGGCGAGUCCACAGCGCAAAGCAAAAACAAGUUUAUUAAGAAAGUAAAGGAAUAAAGAAUGGCUACUCCAUAGACCAAGCAGCCCCGAGAGCUGCUGGUUGCUCAUUUUUUGGUUAUUUCUUGAUGAUAUGCUAAACUAGGGGUGGAUUAUUCGUGUCCCCCCCACCCCUUUUUAGGCCAUAUGGGGUAACUUCCUGACGUUGCCAUGGCAUCUGUAAACUGUCAUGGCACUGGUGGGAGUGUAGCAGUGAGGACGACCAGAGGUCACUCUCGUCACCAUCUUGGUUUUGGUGGAUUUUAGCUGGCUUCUUUACUGCAACCUGUUUUAUCAGCAAGGUUUUUAUCACCUGUAUCUUGUGCCGACCUCCUGUCUCAUCCAGUGACUUAGAAUGCCUGACCAUGUGGGAAUGCAGCCCAGUAGGUCUCAGCCUCAUUUUACCCAGCUCCUGUUCAAGAUGGAGUCACCCUGGUUCACACGCCUCAGACACAGCCUCUGCCUCCUGCCUCAGCCUCCUAAGCAGCUGGGACUACAGUGCAGACCUGAUUUUCUCGACCUCUUUUAUGAAAUAUCCCCGCCAGACUUCCUCAACCCUGCCACCCCCAGGUUCCUGUGCAUACAUAACAUUGCGGGAUAGGUAUUGUGGAAUGAGGAUCAGUGUUACAACCUACAGAAGAUGUGGCUGUGAAGUCAGGAGUCACGGUCUCAGAGUUGACUGCACUGCCUCGUAGCUGUGUGACCUUCAAGAUUUUGUUCAACCCCCUCUGAGCUUCGGUUUGCUCUCUGGGAAGACUCCAAGGAUAAGAGCAUCUACGUCCUCAUCCUGCUGUGAGAGUUACGGGGCCAGGGCCAAAGACGCUUUGUCCGACUGCUGGUCUGCGGGGAGCUCUGAAUAUGAAUCUGCUACAUCACCUUCACUUUUGAAUUCGGCUCUGAUGUUCCAAAUGUUCUUGGCCGUUCCUCCGUGUUUCUCCUGUAUGAAUUUCAGCUUCUUUUUGCCAAGUAUCUCCCCACCCCCGCCCACCCCCAUCCCCAAAUAAACUCACUAGAAUGUUGGUUGAAAAUCUGAUAAGCCUACACAUUGAUUUGGAAAGAAAUGAUUUUUUGUAAGAGUCAAACUCCCUACCUGUUUUUUUUCUUUUUUUUUUCAAAAGUUUUUUUCUUACAUUUGUCAUUCAAGUUUGUCAUUUUCUUGCUACAGACUCCAAACACUUUUCAAGAGGACCAUCGCUAAGUACUUUAUACUCUUGUUUGGGUUUUUUUAUAGUAAAAAAUGUUCAAAUUCUACUUUAUCUUCUAGCUGGUGGUUGUUGGAAGAUAAUUUUAAAAACUGAUUUAAAAUAUGUAUUUUGCAUCUGGCCACGUUCCUGAAUUCUCUCAUUCUUUCUGAAAACUCUUCCGCCGACUCUCUGGGGGCUCCUAGGAAUGUGCUGUUUUGGCUCCUCCUUUCCAGAAGUUAUACGUCUCAUUUCCGCCUCACAUCGUUGGCAUUGUCCUUCAUUUCCAGACCAGGGUCGAACAGUAAUGGUAAAAGCAGGCAUCCUUCUUUGGUUCCUGUCUUGGAUUGGAACGCCUUAGUGUUCCCCCAGCAAGGGGAGAUAAAGGAAGUGCUUAUUUAUAGUUUUCUAUAGUUUCUUGAGCUUUCGUGUUGUUUUGCUUUCAGAAACAAGAAUUGACUUUUAGCAAAUGCCCUUCCCCCUAUAGUUAACAAUUAGGAACUGUUUAAACUAUGCCAGUAGGCAUAAAUAAAGUUAGGAAGAACCCCCAUCUACCCAGCCCCCACUUAGCUUAAGAAAAACAACAUGGCUGGGCAUGGUAGCUCAAGCCUGUAAUCCCAGCACUUUAGGAGGCUUGAGUCCAGGAGUUUGAGACUAGCCUGGGCAACACAGUGAGUCUCUACAAAAAAUAAAAAAGUUGGGCCUGGGUACGGUGGCUCACGCCUGUAAUCCCAGCACUUUGGGAGGCUUGAGUCCAGGAGUUUGAGACUAGCCUAGGCAACAUAAUGAGUCUCUGCAAAAAAUACAAAAGUUGGGGCCGGGCGCGGUGGCUUACACCUGUAAUCCCGGCACUUUGGAAGGCCAAGGUGGGCGGAUCACGAGGUCAGGAGAUCGAGACCAUCGUGGCCAACACGGUGAAACCCCAUCUCUACUAAAAAUACAAAAAUUAGCUGGGCGUGGUGGCAUGCGCCUGUAAUCCCAGCUACUUGGGAGACUGAGGCAGAAGAAUCGUUUGAACCUGGGAGUCGGAGGUUGCAGUGAGCCAAGAUCACCACUGCACUCCAGCUUGGCGACAGAACGAGACUCCAUCUCAAAAACAAAAACAAAAACAAAAGUUAGCCAGCAUGGCGGUGUGCACCUGUAUUUCCAGCUACUCAGGAGGCUAAGAUGGGAGGAUCACCUGAGCCUGGGAGGUUGAGGCUGCAGUCAGCCGUGGUGGUGUCACUGCACUCCAGCCUGGGCAACACAGCGAGACUCUAUCUAAAAAAAAAAAAAGAAGAUGAAGAAGAAAUACAACAUGAUGGCUUCAUCUGAGUUGAGUGCUCUGUGCAGCUCCUUUGCGGUGGAAUCCUCUGCUCUGCUGGCAGGGACGUUGCAUCA